rnacentral:rRNA from 1 species
GUAAGGACGCGUAGGCGGGAAGCCAAGUCUGAUGUGAAAUCCUAUGGCUUAACCAUAGAACUGCAUUGGAAACUGGUUACCUAGAGUAUGGGAGGGGGAGAUGGAAUUAGUGGUGUAGGGGUAAAAUCCGUAGAUAUCACUAGGAAUACCGAAAGCGAAGGCGAUCUCCUGGAACAAUACUGACGCUAAGGCGUGAAAGCGUGGGGAGCAAACGGGAUUAGAUACCCCGGUAGUCCACGCCCUAAACGAUGUUCACUAGUCGUCGGAAUGCUAGUCAUUUCGGUGAUGCACUUAACAGAUUAAGUGAACCGCCUGGGGAGUACGGUCGCAAGAUUAAAACUCAAAGGAAUAGACGGGGACCCGCACAAGUGGUGGAGCAUGUGGUUUAAUUCGAAGAUACGCGAAGAACCUUACCUAGCCUUGACAUUGAAGAAACACUUUAGAGAUAGAGUGGUGCCCUUCGGGGAAUCUGAAAACAGGUGCUGCACGGCUGUCGUCAGCUCGUGUCGUGAGAUGUUGGGUUAAGUCCCGCAACGAGCGCAACCCUCGUCCUUAGUUGCCAGCAGGUUAAGCUGGGCACUUUAAGGAGACUGCCUUCGCAAGGAGGAGGAAGGUGAGGACGACGUCAAGUCAUCAUGGCCCUUAUGGCUAGGGCUACACACGUGCUACAAUGGGGCGUACAGAGAGUUGCGAUACCGCGAGGUGGAGCCAAUCUCAUAAAGCGUCUCUCAGUUCGGAUUGGAGUCUGCAACUCGACUCCAUGAAGCUGGAAUCACUAGUAAUCGUAGAUCAGCAAUGCUACGGUGAAUACGUU